rnacentral:rRNA from 1 species
GGUACAGAGGGCAGCCAAGUCGUGAGGCGGAGCUAAUCCCUUAAAGCCAUUCUCAGUUCGGAUUGUAGGCUGAAACUCGCCUACAUGAAGCUGGAGUUACUAGUAAUCGCGGAUCAGCAUGCCGCGGUGAAUACGUUCCCGGGCCUUGUACACACCGCCCGUCACACCAUGAGAGUCGGGAACACCCGAAGUCCGUAGCCUAACCGCAAGGGGGGCACGGCCGAAGGUGGGUUCGAUAAUUGGGGUGAAGUCGUAACAAGGUACC